GAUGGGCUCGCGUCCCAUUAGCUAGUUGGUAGGGUAAUGGCCUACCAAGGCGACGAUGGGUAGCCGGCCUGAGAGGGUGUCCGGCCACACUGGAACUGAAACACGGUCCAGACUCCUACGGGAGGCAGCAGUGAGGAAUUUUGCGCAAUGGGCGAAAGCCUGACGCAGCGACGCCGCGUGGGCGAUGAAGCUUCUUGGAGUGUAAAGCCCUGUCAGAUGGGACGAACCCGGGGUGGCAGAACACGCCAUCCCGCUGACGGUACCAUCAGAGGAAGCCCCGGCUAACUCCGUGCCAGCAGCCGCGGUAAUACGGAGGGGGCGAGCGUUGUUCGGAAUCACUGGGUGUAAAGGGUGCGUAGGCGGUCUCUCAAGUCUGAUGUGAAAUCCCUGGGCUCAACUCAGGAACUGCAUUGGAAACUGAAAGGCUGGAGUACCGGAGAGGGAAGCGGAAUUCCUGGUGUAGCGGUGAAAUGCGUAGAUACCAGGAGGAACACCGGUGGCGAAGGCGGCUUCCUGGCCGAGUACUGACGCUGGGGCACGAAAGCGUGGGGAGCGAACGGGAUUAGAUACCCCGGUAGUCCACGCUGUAAACGAUGGGUACUAGAUGU
rnacentral:rRNA from 1 species